UACGGAGGGUGCAAGCGUUAUCCGGAUUCACUGGGUUUAAAGGGUGCGUAGGUGGGCAGGUAAGUCAGUGGUGAAAUCUCCGGGCUUAACCCGGAACUGCCGUUGAUACUAUCUGUCUUGAAUAUCGUGGAGGUGAGCGGGAAUAUGUCAUGUAGCGGUGAAAUGCUUAGAUAUGACAUAGAACAUCAAUUGCGAAGGCAGCUCGCUACACGGUUAUUGACACUGAGGCACGAAAGCGUGGGGAUCAAACAGG
rnacentral:rRNA from 1 species